rnacentral:lncRNA from 1 species
AUGCUUGCGAUGAGGCUGUGAUGCUAGUGAUGAUGCUUGUGAUGCUUGCGAUGAGGCUGUGAUGCCAGUGAUGAUGCUUGUGAUGCUUGCGAUGAGGCUGUGAUGCUAGUGAUGAUGCUUGUGAUGCUUGCGAUGAGGCUGUGAUGCCAGUGAUGAUGCUUGUGAUGCUUGUGAUGAGGUUGUGAUGCUUGUCAUGUUUGUAAUAAUCCAUAUUUGAGUAUGUUGGAGUAUGUUGUUUGUGUGGAGUAUGUUGGAGUAUGUCUAACUCCACUUGUAUGUGUAACUCCAUUUAAAUUUUUACUCCAAGUAUUUUUACUCCAU